UACGUAGGGGGCUAGCGUUGUCCGGAAUCAUUGGGCGUAAAGCGCGCGUAGGCGGCCCCGUAAGUCCGCUGUGAAAGUCCAGGGCUCAACCCUGGGAUGCCGGUGGAUACUGUCGGGCUCGAGUCCGGAAGAGGCGAGUGGAAUUCCUGGUGUAGCGGUGAAAUGCGCAGAUAUCAGGAGGAACACCAAUGGCGAAGGCAGCUCGCUGGGACGUGACUGACGCUGAGACGCGAAAGCGUGGGGAGCAAACAGG
rnacentral:rRNA from 1 species